GACGAACGCUGGCGGCGUGCUUAACACAUGCAAGUCGAACGGAAAGGCCCUGCUUUUGUGGGGUGCUCGAGUGGCGAAAGGGUGAGUAACACGUGAGUAACCUGCCCUUGACUUUGGGAUAACUUCAGGAAACUGGGGCUAAUACCGGAUAGGAGCUCCUGCUGCAUGGUGGGGGUUGGAAAGUUUCGGCGGUUGGGGAUGGACUCGCGGCUUAUCAGCGUGUUGGUGGGGUAGUGGCUUACCAAGGCUUUGACGGGUAGCCGGCCUGAGAGGGUGACCGGCCACAUUGGGACUGAGAUACGGCCCAGACUCCUACGGGAGGCAGCAGUGGGGAAUAUUGCACAAUGGGCGGAAGCCUGAUGCAGCAACGCCGCGUGCGGGAUGACGGCCUUUGGGUUGUAAACCGCUUUCGCCUGUGACGAAGCGUGAGUGACGGUAAUGGGUAAAGAAGCACCGGCUAACUACGUG
rnacentral:rRNA from 1 species